rnacentral:rRNA from 1 species
GACAGAGGGUGCAAACGUUGUUCGGAAUUACUGGGCGUAAAGCGCGUGUAGGCGGCUUGUUAUGUCGGGUGUGAAAGCCCUCAGCUUAACUGAGGAAGUGCGCCCGAAACUGGCGAGCUUGAGUGCCGGAGAGGAUAGCGGAAUUCCCGGUGUAGAGGUGAAAUUCGUAGAUAUCGGGAGGAACACCGGUGGCGAAGGCGGCGAUCUGGGUAGAUACUGACGCUGAGGUGCGAAAGCGUGGGGAGCAAACAGG